rnacentral:rRNA from 1 species
UACGGGGGAUGCAAGCGUUAUCCGGAUUUAUUGGGUUUAAAGGGUGCGUAGGCUGUGAGGUAAGUCAGCGGUGAAAUGCCCCCGCUCAACGGGGUGAAGUGCCAUUGGUACUGCCUUGCUGGAAUGCGGAUGCCGUGGGAGGAAUGUGUGGUGUAGCGGUGAAAUGCAUAGAUAUCACACAGAACACCGAUUGCGAAGGCAUCUCACGAAUCCGCGAUUGACGCUGAGGCACGAAAGCGUGGGUAUCAAACAGG